rnacentral:lncRNA from 1 species
GUCUGAGGAGCUCAUGAAGCAUGAGACCCUUUUUGUGUUUGCUGUGGAUUUAUUCUGUGAAUGUACAAGAGAUGCAUACAAGAAGCACAGACACAAUGCACGAGCUCUACUGCUGGUGAAACAGGGGCAUCAGGGAGAGCAAAGCCAAGGGCCGAGGAGAUGCCACAGAGCAGAGCUUGCUCACACCAAGAUGAGCUGCAAGCCUCUGAACCUGGCAAACCAGAGGCAGCAUUCCAGCUGAGCAGCGGAGGAAUCGGGUCGGCCACCAGGCCAAGUGAGAAGGUGACUGUGUGUUACAGAAUGAACCAAGACAGAGCAGAUCAGACCAAACAAUGGGUUUGCUCCAUCAAAAGAGAAAUUUUACCACAGAACCAUUGUCCAGAAUGACAGUUUCUACAGGGGACUUGUUGCCACUCAAAGCUGUAAACCUCUGAAUCCAGGCCAGAAAAACAAGGCUCCCUUUGAGUACAUAACCAAUUACAGGAUGAAUUAUGGAUGGGCAGAGUCCAAUAAGAUGACGUUUAACAAGUCCAAGUACUGAGUCCUGUGUUUUGGGCACAAUAACCCCCUGCAGCAUUACAGGCUGGGGAUGGUGUGGCUGGACAGGGCCCAGAAAGGACCUGGGGGUGCUGGUGACAGCCGGCUGGACAUGAGCCAGCAGUGUGCCCUGGUGCCAAGAAGGCCAAUGGCUCCUGGCCUGUGUCAGGAACAGUGUGGCCAGCAGGAGCAGGGAGGUCACCCUUGCCCUGUACUGCACUGGUGAGGCCUCACCUCGAGUGCUGUGUCCAGCUCUGAUUCCUCAGUUUGGGAAGGACCUUGAGACGCUUGAGCGCAUCCAGAGGAGGCAGCGAGGCUGGAGAGGGGCUGGGAACACAAACCCUGUGAGGAACGGCUGAGGGAGCUGGGGUGGCUCAGCCUGGAGAAAAGGAGACUCACAGGUGACCUUUUCACUCUCUGCAAUCUCCUGAAAGGUGGUUGCAGCCAGGUGGAUGUCAGUCUCUUUCUCCAGGCAGCAACUGACAGAACAAGAGGUCACAGUCUAAAGCUGUGCCAAGUGAAAUAUAGGUUGGAUAUUAGGAAAUUUUUUUUUAAUGGAAAGAGUGAUAAAGUACUGGAAUGGUCUGCCAGGGGAGGUGGUGGAAUCACCAUUCCUGGAUGUGUUUAAAAAAAGGUUGGAUGUGGCACUUGGGGCCAUGGUUUAGUUGAGGUGUUAGGGCAUGGAUUGCACUCGAUGAUCUUCAAGGUCUCUUCCAAAUUAGUGAUUCUGUGAUGUGCCAUCUCCUCUGGUGAAACAUUAUGUCCAUAAAAUUCAGAUAUACAAGGUCAAUUAUGUUUCAUUUGAUGGUCUCACUACACACAAAUUUUCCUACCAGGGGUGGGCUGGUCAGCCAGCUAAGAUUCCAAAACCAUACCAGACAAAACCAGCCCCUGUCUUCUUUUCUCCACUACAACUGAAUUUCAGGAAAGACACAAAGCUUGACUACAGCCUCCUGUAUUCACCAGAAAACCUGAUAUUUAUCUUCCUCCACUGGAGAAAAUGGACAUUCACACCAAUACUUGGACACAUUGGAAGCACCUAAAUGAAAAGCAAGCCAAAAUGUGUAGAUCUUUGGCCCAGCUUAAUAAAAUUACUGAGCCAUUUAACA